rnacentral:lncRNA from 1 species
AAGAAUAAUGAUUCUUACUGCAAAGAGGGUGUAAUAGUUACCACUAUUGAGUUUGACAGGCUUGUGUUUUUAUACAAUGUUUAUUCCAGUUAGAGUAUAAAUAAAAAUGCAAACUGUUGUCAAUACUGACUUCAGAGCAAGUGAGUAAUCAAAUAGAUAAAAGCAUGUUUCAAAUAAAAUACCUAGCUGGAUUUAUACUUUAUUGCAUACAGAUUUAACAACAUCCAGUGUUGUGUGGCUUGACAGUGAAAUAAAAAGUAAGUUCUUUAUGUUCCCUUACAAUCAUAAAGAUUAAAAAGAUUUGUUCCGGUAUGAGAUGUUUAGAUCUCUAUCCUGCUUAUUACUAAGGGGAAGUUUCGUUUAUACAGUUUGGACUCCCAUGAACUUUUGCAUACAACUUUGUAUUUAUUUGCCUUAAAGUAGCUUUUUUGCAUUUUUCAGAAAAUUUAGAAAAGAAAAUCUGAAUUACGUCUUACUAGUAAGUGUGAUAAAACACUCUUAGGAAUUUGGAGAGUGUGUUGGACUGUAUCUUCUCUUCCUCCACAGCCGCCUUGUGCUUAGGAAGCCUUGUGAUAA